GUGCUUCUAUGAUGAUUGUCAUGGAUUAAUCGCGUCAGGCAUGGCGCCCGAAACUCAUGAGGAUGAUCUCCAUGCUGCCUUCCUUCUGAAAGUAC